CGUUCUGUAAGCCGUUGAAGGUGGCCUGUGAGGGUUGCUGGAGGUAUCAGAAGUGCGAAUGCUGACAUAAGUAACGAUAAUGCGGGUGAAAAACCCGCACGCCGGAAGACCAAGGGUUCCUGUCCAACGUUAAUCGGGGCAGGGUGAGUCGACCCCUAAGGCGAGGCCGAAAGGCGUAGUCGAUGGGAAACAGGUUAAUAUUCCUGUACUCGGUGUUACUGCGAAGGGGGGACGGAGAAGGCUAUGUUGGCCGGGCGACGGUUGUCCCGGUUUAAGCAUGUAGGCGGAUG
rnacentral:rRNA from 1 species